CUCAAUUUACACUUUUAUGUGAUUCCUCAUCUAGACGUUGCAUAAGGUACAAAAAAGUAUAUAUAUAUGUGUGUACAUGAUGGAGUUACAUAUAAAUAACCUGUAGGAAAAUAUGACCUUGAUUUUGUGCAGAAACUUUAUCUGGAAACACUGAAGGUGCCUUCAUUAGCAGAACUGCACAGCCGCCUCUGAAAAGGUACGUCCACUCGGCAUGGAGGAGUCGGCGUCCCUUACCCAGUUAAUAAGAUCAAUGAAUGCGCAGGUCUUUCUUCUUCUAGCUUCCACCCACAAAUAAAAUGGUUCCAAAAAGAAGAUGUCGUCAUCUUAAAGAUAAGAAUAAGGAAUGUAAAGGACUACAAGUGUCAGUAUUUAAGGGAUAGAGUCGUUUUCAGUGCUUGGGUGGGAGACAAAUUUUACCUGGCUGAUCUGGAGCUGCGGGGCAACAUAAGGAAAGAUGACUGCCAAUGUGUGAUUAGAAACGAUGAACCUGUAAUCACUCUGGCCAAAGAGAGAAGGGAGGCAUGGUGUCACCUACUCAGACAGAGGAACCCCAACGUGGCUUUUGAUUUUGAUCACUGGGAAGACUGUGAAGAGGACAGCCACUUCCCCAAGGUGACAGAGGUGGUUGAAGACAGUAGCAGCACUUCAGAGGAUGACGACAGUGAGAGUGAAAGAGAAGGUGAAUGACGUCCUCAAGAGCGGCUGGAAGAUGUUGAACAAAAAUGGAUAUUGCCAUGUGACCGACAGUUAAGAAAACAGUCAGUCAUAACCAAAUCUUUUUCUUUUCUUUUCUUUUUUUUUUUUUUUUUUUUUUUUUGAGACAGAGUCUUGCUCUGUCGGCCAGGCUGGAGUGCAGUGGCAUGAUCUUGGCUCACUGCAACCUCUGCCUCACAGGCUCAAGCAAUUCUCCUGCCUCAGCCUCCCGAGUAGCUGGGAUUACAGGCAUGUGCCACCAUGCCUGACCAAUUUUUGUAUUUUUAGUAGAGACAGGGUUUCACCAUGUUGGACAGGCUGGUCUCGAACUCCUGACCUCAGGUAAUCCUCCCACCUCAGCCUCCCAAAGUGCUGGGAUUACAGGUGUGAGCCACCACACCCGGCCAACCAAAUCUUUCUUUACCUCAAGGAUAAAUGAUUACUGUCACCUUGUGGUGCUGGACUUGAUAACGGUGAGAAAUUCUUCAUUGACUUAAAAAUAGGCUGAUGAUAAGACCAUCAAAGGAGGGUGGACACAGAGAAACAGCAGGUGUGGUCUGAUUCCGCCGGCUUGUCUGUCCUGUCUGGCGCCUCUCGCCACUCACCCUGGCAGAGCAGACAUGCAUCUGGGUGAUGAAAUGCACUGUCUGGAGUCAGUCCAUUCAUUUUUUUUCACCUAGACCUUUGCUACAUUGCUACAAACCUGAUCUUACACAUAUAAAUUGAGGUUUCUAAUGUACACACUUAGACUCAGCAACUGUUGAACCAGCCCUUUCAACCAUGAGAUAGUGGGAUUUAACAUAACCAUCUAUGUGAAUUGAUAGUGUUAGCAUUCUUGGAUAGUGAUAGCUCCUCAGAGUAAGUUGACUUCUGAUGAAGAGAUAGUCCAGGGAUAGAAAUUGGAUUGCUCAGUAAGACCCAGGCCUUUCCGGGGUGAAGCUGCUGGUUCUAAACAAUCCCUUGGACCUGCAGAGUCCUGAGCAAAUGGCACAAAGGUUGCUUUUUAGUGGAAAUUCACAAGGGCCUGUGGGGUGCCUGGAGGUGAUCUUUGAAUGCCUACAUGUCGUGAGCCCUGCAGACAUUCGCCACCCCAUCUGCAUUGUGGCUGCAGCACUGGGGGGGGUCACCAGGUUUAGGGGAGGAGUGUAUGUAGUCAUGGCCACACCCAGAGGCUGGCUUUUGUGCUUUGGGUUUCUUUGUUGACUGAAAAAGCGAGAAAGGUGAGCUAUUGGGAAAUUAAAAGUCCUGUGCACUCUGUGUCUUGUUUAUCAGCUUUGCCUCGGAAUGGAAAAGAAUUUGGAUAGAACAUGAGUGUUGUGUGACGGCCCCAAGAUCUUUAUUAUUUUUUUGUAUCAGAAAGCGCCAAUGCCCAGGCUUAUGUAUGUCCCAGCAGAAGCCACCGCUUGAACUAGAGGUGAACUUUGUCAUCAAGCUGUCCUGUGAGCAGGUCUGGAUCACACUCUGGCUCAGUUUUCUCAUCUGUAAAAUGAGACAUCCCCUCAUUGUGUGGCCUGGCCUUGUCUCAGGGAGCGCCCGCCGAGUGCUGCUGGGUUGGGCAGUUUUUCUGCCCAGUGGCUCUGAUGGGGGCUCAGAGCCCUGGCCUCCCCUGGGAGGACACGCUGUGCAGCCAGGACAGCUGCCGGGAGUGUGCCCAGGUCACUGCUAUGGCCUUCGCAGGGUGACUGGCAGGUAUCAAAUCAGCCCAUGAAGGAAGAUGGUGAUUUUCCUUUUUUGUAGCUAAAUUGGGCAGGCUCUUGGGAAGUAGAAAGUUCUGGUGUUUUUGCUGGUGAAGGUUUUGACUGUGGAGCUCUUCUAACACCCAUAUCAGUGUCUGUUUCUCUGCAUGUGGCUGCUGCCCUGUUGGUGGAGCUCUGGGGGCAGAGACCAGGCCGCCGUCCAGUGGCGCCCCGUGCGCACCAGCUGCCUGCUGUUUACACCCAGGUGCGCCGAGUCUCUUUCAUACAGCACAGCAAAUGAUAAUAGCUAGUGACAAUGUGUUUCCUGUGCACUCGUGAAAAUGCAGGGAGGACAACUGCAUGCUUAGAUCUGUUUCUUUUUUCAGACAUUCAAAUGUUCUAAUAUCUGAAGCUAACAUUUUGUAGGAUAUAGGAUGCUGAUUAUGUGAACAAUUAGUCAUUGGUUUUCUGUACUGCUAUGAAUAUGUCUGAUUUCAAGUUUUGGUCAAAUAUCUAAAAUGCAAGGUGAAAGUGCCUUUGUCUCUAUGCUUCUAAAAUCGCUCAUGCUUAG
rnacentral:lncRNA from 1 species